GGUCAGCCUGCCAUGUGACUAGCAAAGCCACUGAUUUAGCAUAAGCAAAUGUAUGUUAAGAUGCAUUUUGUGAUCCACCGAUGAGUGGAUCGUCCCCUACUCCUGCAGUUUGAACAAGGCUCGAGAGGGUCAUCUCCCCGCAAACGAGGACUUCCGUGCCACUUGAAGCAAAAAGUGACCUAUUAAAGCUGAAAUGUCUUCGGCUGGAGAACUUCAGAGAAACCACUUCACCUAAAACGAGACUGAAUUUAGGACAUGACUCAGUUUCUUAACACAUUGGGGGAAAAUUUCUUCAAAGAAUGGAGUGAUGUGUGAAAUUAAGAAACAGAAGGAGCAUAAGGAAGACAAUAUGACUCUACUAGUUGAAGGGAGGAUGCUGUUCAACACACAGUGCUUUCAGGGAAGAGAAUACCACUUGGCCGGAGAGCUUUCCCAAGAACUGAGCAAGCCACAUCAUUUUAUAACAAACUAUUUGCUCACUCAGUGCUAUGCACACUCAGCCAGAGAAGAACACAUUAACCAUAUGAGGCCACUUGGAGACAUCACAGGAGAUUUUGGGCAGUGGGACCAUCAUUUGGCUGGUGAUCCUUGGCUCUCCACACUUUGUUCUCCUAGUCCCAGAUGGUAGUAUGAUUUCACAUGCCCAGUGCCUGGCUCUGUCAUUUUGUCCAAACUCAGUAUCAUGAAGUUAAAGUGAUGCAAUUUGGGUGGAACAAAUAAUUUGGAACUUUCAACAUAAAUAAUCCGGGAUCCUUUAAUUAAUGAAAUACAUUUGUGUCUUGCUAUACAAAGGCUCAGUGCAGAACAACUUUGUAUUUCUAUAUCUUCAAAUCUAAGUAACUUUUUAACAAUUUAAAACCUUUGGGUAUUUAACAGUAUUGAAAACCUUUUUUCUUUCUUCAGUAAAAUUCUGUCCGUUCCCUGUUUGUACAUCGUAAAUACAUACAUACACACACACAUACAAAAAUUUAAUUGUUUUAAUAAUGUUAACUGUUUUAAAAGCUAUGUGAUUAGUUAGAGGAUCCUCAUACAUAUA